AUGGCUGACAGCUUCCAGUCACUAUCAAGCGCAUUUGAUGGGGAACUAGAUGGUGUUCACUCUGAAUUUGAGAACUUGGAACCUGGUAUGGCUGAGAAUGUCAAUACAACAUCUGCAGAUGAUGAUGCAAUGAGAGAACAAGACAUAUACGCUAGUUUCCUCGAGGAAGCAAACAUAGAUUUAUACCCUGGAUGUGCAACAUAUUCGAGGUUGUCAUUUCUUGUCACUUUAUAUCACAUGAAAGUCUUGCAUGGAUGGUCACAGGAAUCAUUCACACAGCUACUUGGUGUAUUAUCGGUUGCAUUUCCUCAGGUAAACCUACCCAAGAAAUAUUAUGAGGUGAAAAAAAUCAUACGCGGAUUAGGGCUGGACUAUGAGAAAAUUCAUGCAUGCCCAAGAGACUGCAUGCUUUUUAGAGGCGAAAGAGCUAACCAGGAGUCUUUCCAUGUGUGUGGUGCCUCUCGUUGGGUUACCAAUGAAAAUGAGAAGAAAGAUUCGGCAACUAAAUCUAAAAAGAAGAAGAAGAAGAAACCAGCCAAGGUGUUGUGA
rnacentral:rRNA from 1 species